UGGGGAAUAUUGCACAAUGGGCGCAAGCCUGAUGCAGCCAUGCCGCGUGUGUGAAGAAGGCCUUCGGGUUGUAAAGCACUUUCAGUCAGGAGGAAAGGUUAGUAGUUAAUACCUGCUAGCUGUGACGUUACUGACAGAAGAAGCACCGGCUAACUCCGUGCCAGCAGCCGCGGUAAUACGGAGGGUGCGAGCGUUAAUCGGAAUUACUGGGCGUAAAGCGUACGCAGGCGGUUUGUUAAGCGAGAUGUGAAAGCCCCGGGCUUAACCUGGGAACUGCAUUUCGAACUGGCAAACUAGAGUGUGAUAGAGGGUGGUAGAAUUUCAGGUGUAGCGGUGAAAUGCGUAGAGAUCUGAAGGAAUACCGAUGGCGAAGGCAGCCACCUGGGUCAACACUGACGCUCAUGUACGAAAGCGUGGGGAGCAAACAGGAUUAGAUACCCCCGUAGUCC
rnacentral:rRNA from 1 species